GACGAACGCUGGCGGCGUGCUUAACACAUGCAAGUCGAACGGAAAGGCCCUGCUUUUGUGGGGUGCUCGAGUGGCGAACGGGUGAGUAACACGUGAGUAACCUGCCCUUGACUUUGGGAUAACUUCAGGAAACUGGUGCUAAUACCGGAUAGGAGCUCCUGCUGCAUGAUGGGGGUUGGAAAGUUUCGGCGGUUGGGGAUGGACUCGCGGCUUAUCAGCUUGUUGGUGGGGUAGUGGCUUACCAAGGCUUUGACGGGUAGCCGGCCUGAGAGGGUGACCGGCCACAUUGGGACUGAGAUACGGCCCAGACUCCUACGGGAGGCAGCAGUGGGGAAUAUUGCACAAUGGGCGGAAGCCUGAUGCAGCAACGCCGCGUGCGGGAUGACGGCCUUCGGGUUGUAAACCGCUUUCGCCUGUGACGAAGCGUGAGUGACGGUAAUGGGUAAAGAAGCACCGGCUAACUACGUG
rnacentral:rRNA from 1 species